rnacentral:rRNA from 1 species
GAUGAACGCUGGCGGCGUGCCUAAUACAUGCAAGUCGAGCGAACAGACGAGGAGCUUGCUCCUCUGACGUUAGCGGCGGACGGGUGAGUAACACGUGGAUAACCUACCUAUAAGACUGGGAUAACUUCGGGAAACCGGAGCUAAUACCGGAUAAUAUAUUGAACCACAUGGUUCAAUAGUGAAAGACGGUUUUGCUGUCACUUAUAGAUGGAUCCGCGCCGCAUUAGCUAGUUGGUAAGGUAACGGCUUACCAAGGCAACGAUGCGUAGCCGACCUGAGAGGGUGAUCGGCCACACUGGAACUGAGACACGGUCCAGACUCCUACGGGAGGCAGCAGUAGGGAAUCUUCCGCAAAGGGCGAAAGCCUGACGGAGCAACGCCGCGUGAGUGAUGAAGGUCUUCGGAUCGUAAAACUCUGUUAUUAGGGAAGAACAAAUGUGUAAGUAACUAUGCACGUCUUGACGGUACCUAAUCAGAAAGCCACGGCUAACUACGUG